UACGUAGGUGGCAAGCGUUAUCCGGAAUUAUUGGGCGUAAAGAGCGCGCAGGUGGUUGAUUAAGUCUGAUGUGAAAGCCCACGGCUUAACCGUGGAGGGUCAUUGGAAACUGGUCGACUUGAGUGCAGAAGAGGGAAGUGGAAUUCCAUGUGUAGCGGUGAAAUGCGUAGAGAUAUGGAGGAACACCGGUGGCGAAGGCGACUUGCUGGGCAGCAACUGACGCUGAGGCGCGAAAGCCAGGGGAGCAAACGGGAUUAGAUACCCGGGUA
rnacentral:rRNA from 1 species